AGUCGUAACAAGGUCUCCGUAGGUGAACCUGCGGAGGGAUCAUUACACAAAUAUGAAGGCGGGCUGGAACCUCUCGGGGUUACAGCCUUGCUGAAUUAUUCACCCUUGUCUUUUGCGUACUUCUUGUUUCCUUGGUGGGUUCGCCCACCACUGGGACAAACAUAAACCUUUUGUAAUUGCAAUCAGCGUCAGUAACAAAUUAAUAAUUACAACUUUCAACAACGGAUCUCUUGGUUCUGGCAUCGAUGAAGAACGCAGCGAAAUGCGAUAAGUAGUGUGAAUUGCAGAAUUCAGUGAAUCAUCGAAUCUUUGAACGCACAUUGCGCCCUUUGGUAUUCCAAAGGGCAUGCCUGUUCGAGCGUCAUUUGUACCCUCAAGCUUUGCUUGGUGUUGGGCGUCUUGUCUCUAGCUUUGCUGGAGACUCGCCUUAAAGUAAUUGGCAGCCGGCCUACUGGUUUCGGAGCGCAGCACGAGUCGCACUCUCUAUCAGCAAAGGUCUAGCAUCCAUUAAGCCUUUUUUUUCAACUUUUGACCUCGGAUCAGGUAGGGAUACCCGCUGAACUUAAGCAUAUCAAUAAAAGUCG
rnacentral:rRNA from 1 species